AUGCUGCCCUUCAAUUAGCAGAGAGGAGACUGACACGGAGCAAGUGCUGCCUGACAACUGUGCAGGAGAUUCUUUGAUGGAUUACAACCUCAUCAGACUCCAACUUGAGAAGAAGAAUGUCAGCUCAGACACUUAGACCAGACUUUUCACCAUCCUGGAAAGGAACUGGCUUCCAGAAUUUGGAAGGUUUUUGAUGCUCUACCUCCCUCUGCUGUUACCAGCGAGAAGUUCCUCGACAAUGGGAAAUCAUGUACUCGCAGCUUCGAUUUCCAUGCUGUCGCUGCUGGUGAUGGUGGGAGACACGGACAGUAAAACAGACGGGUCCUUCCUGAUGGACUCGGACCCCAGCCGCUGCAUGAGGCACCACUACGUGGAUUCCAUCAGCCACCCCCUGUACAAGUGCAGCUCCAAGAUGGUGCUGCUGGCUCGCUGCGAAGGCCGCUGCAGCCAGAGCUCGCGCUCCGAGCCCCUGGUCUCCUUCAGCGCCGUCCUCAAGCAGCCCUUCCGCUCCAGCUGCCACUGCUGCCGCCCCCAGACCUCCAAGCUGAAGGCCAUGAGGCUGCGCUGCUCGGGGGGCAUGCGGCUCACGGCCACCUACCGCUACAUCCUCUCCUGCCACUGCGAGGAGUGCAGCUCCUAGGGCCCGGCAGCGGGACAGCGCCCCGCUGCUGUGGGGGAACCAUCCGAGACUGGAGUGCUGCUGUGGGGGAACCAUCCAAAAAUGGAGUGCUGCUGUGGGGGAACCAUCCGAGAGUGGAGUGCUGCUGUGGGGGAACCAUCCAAAAAUGGAGUGCUGCUGUGGGGGAACCAUCCGAGAGUGGAGUGCUGCUGUGGGGGAACCAUCCAAAAAUGGAGUGCUGCUGUGGGGGAACCAUCCGAGAGUGGAGUGCUGCUGUGGGGGAACCAUCCAAAAAUGGAGUGCUGCUGUGGGGGAACCAUCCGAGAGUGGAGUGCUGCUGUGGGGGAACCAUCCAAAAAUGGAGUGCUGCUGUGGGGGAACCAUCCGAGAGUGGAGUGCUGCUGUGGGGGAACCAUCCAAAAAUGGAGUGCUACUGUGGGGGAACCAUCCGAGAGAGGAGUUCUGCUAUGGGGGAACCAUCCGAGAGAGGAGUGCUGCUGUGGGGGAACCAUCCGAGAGUGGAGUGCUGCUGUGGGGGAACCAUCCAAAAAUGGAGUGCUGCUGUGGGGGAACCAUCCGAGAGUGGAGUGCUGCUGUGGGGGAACCAUCCAAAAAUGGAGUGCAGCUGCUAGGCCAUGGCAGCCAGGACAAUGGGGUGCUGCUGUGGGGGGAAGACUCCCAGGAAACCAUCCAAGGUCAGGCCAGCGCUCCCACCACAGGAUUGCGGCAAGGAUGGGACCAACUGGAUUGAAUCUGAGAGCAGAAGCACAAAAUAUCCUGGGUUGUUGGAUGGCGCUGCAGUGUGGGCUGUGACAAAGGCAUAAGU
rnacentral:lncRNA from 1 species